GUCCCCGUGCGCGGCCCGGCUCUGCGGGACAGCGGCUCCGAGUGACGCGCCUGUUCGGUGGCACAGCGCUGGACCCGGCGUGGCUCGGCCGUUCAAGACAAGUUAUUACUGCCUUAUGCUUACUUAGAAUUUCUGACACUUUUUUUUUUCCUUUUUUAUAAAUAAGAACAGGAAGGAAAAAAAAAACACAACCCCACAGUGUAUUAGCAGUGUCAAGUUUUAAGUGAGGCUUAAGCACGACAACAUUUCUUACACCCCUUCCCUGUAGACUCUAAAAAGAGCUGGUUUCGCCCUCUUUGCACCCGUCCUAGCUUGACAGUCCUCUGUGUUAGAAGCAGGACUGUCGUAACAGGUUUGCCAAGAACGUGCAGCUUCCAGAUGAUCUGGAAAAGCAGCUGCUGCAUCUGUGCAAGAGAACACGGGGGUCUCUGGUGCCGGCGCUGCUGUUGGGCUGUGGGACAAAGAGAACACGGGGGUCUCUGGUGCCGGUGCUGCUGUUGGGCUGUGGGACAAAGAGAACACGGGGGUCUCUGGUGCCGAGUGGUGCUGUUGGGCUGUGGGACAAAGAGAACACGGGGACAAAGAGAACACGGGGGUCUCUGGUGCCGAGCGGUGCUGUUGGGCUGUGGGACACGUGGGUGUUACUGGCCCGUCUGAUGGUAAGUGCACGCAUGGGGAAGGUGAGAUGAUGCUGAACUCAAAAGAAUAAUUAGGGUGAAGCAGAAAGAGGAGGAAGACAAAAGACAAGCCACAACCAGCCACCAGCAGAGGAAGCCGAGGGAGGCUGUGGAGCUGUGGAUCCAGGGUAUGUUGGCAGGUGUCUGAGAGGUUCUUUGGAAGGAUGGUGUGCUGGCCUUUCCUUGUGCGUGGACCCCAGCGUGGGCAGGUGACAACUGUGACAGGGAGAUUCUUCUGGCUGGCAUCCUGUAGCUCCCAUCUUGGGAUCAACAAUAAGAGUUGUGCUUGUGAGCCGCUGCAAACUAGCAACCAAUAUACGGCCUUGUUUUUUUCAGGAGUCUUCCAGCUUGUAGUGCAGCCAACUGGUUAAUGUCUUGGAAGCCUUGACUGUUUCUUAUCAGUAUUUUGAAAACAAGCUAUUGCAAGUAAUCUCUUUUAUGAACUAUUUCAUGUAACUUUCAUGUGACAGACUAUUACCUUAACAAUAGCACAGUCUCUUGACAAUAGUGCUCUUGAUCUCUUGCAAGUGUUCAAGGUAAAUCAUGAAUUAUCCACAUUUUCAAAGGAAUGUUGACCUCAGUGCUCAAGUGGUUCACAUUCCAGUUUUUCAUAGUCUACAAGUCCCGUUUCUCUUCAAAGCCUUCUUUAAAUAAACAAGCGAAUUUUAUUGGAGCAAAAAAUUAAGAUAAGUGUAGGAAUUCCUCUGGAACACUUAUCUUUAUCUAGAUUAGCUUUCAUGCUUGAAAUCUAAUUGAAUUGGCAGAUCCCUGAAUCUUAGGGACCGAGAGAAUGCUAGGUACAUUCCUCUCUUGAGAACCAGGCAAGGCACAAGGAGGACUCUAACACAGACACACAUCUUCCACCCAUUUUUCCUUCAAUAUAUUUGUUUCCCAAGUACAGUGAAAAGUAUCCCGCUGCUGUUUGUCCCAUAGCUUGUCACUGUGUGCAAAUUACCCUCAGAAGGCACCGUUUUGUGAGGCAUCUGUUUUCCAAGCAUCUCAGGGCUUCCUUAGCAAAGCCUCUGCACGUAUAAUGGGAAAAAAAAUUAGCGUAGGGUGAUAGAAUUUGCUUUUAUCCACUAAACAGAACGAGUGUUGUAUGGGCUCUACUUAUGAGAGAAAAUCUGUUACAGCAAAUAAAAGCCCUGAGGCUCAGGAGAUGCCCCUCUGCACUGCUGUUGAGCAAGAAGUUAGGUUUAUCUACCGUGAAAGACACCUUUUCAAUACCCAAUGUAAAACAGGUUGUUGUUAAAAAUAAUUAAUACUAGCUGUUUUUUUAAUUUGAUCAGAGCAAGAGGGGAAAAUCCCCUCAGCUGAGACUAAAACAAAUGCUUAUUUUAUAUUGGGAUAUGUUACCUGUUGCUUUGUGAUCUGUCAUCAGGAAAAACCGGCCUUGUAUUCUGUUGUCGUGUACUCCAGAAUUAUUAAUUUAGCUUUCAGUUACGUGAGCAGUGGGUCUUCCAUCAAUUUCCAUGGAAGAUGAGCCUGGUAUACAGUCGCUCAUCUGCCACUGUCUCUGCAUUUGCCAAGACGCAGCGUGCUUGGCCUGAGCGAGCCCGUCGGCGCUGGAAAACAGAGACGAGAGAACCUUUUGCACAGAGAUUUUGAGACCUUGAUCAUCCCUGCAGAUGGUAUGUGCUCCAUAAAUACUGUUGAGAUUGGUGGAGCAGCUCCUACACAAAUAAUUUAUUUCUGAGACAUUACUGAAGUGUAUGUAUGUCGUAGCAGGAAUGACACCGAUCUGAGCACUGUGACUGCUGAAGGCAACAGGAGGCCAAAGUUGUUACUGUUGCUACAGUCCAGCAAUGACAAGGCUGAUGAGUUGUACUGUCUCAGCUCCAGCAUUGUGGUGACUCCCGGGACCGCUGCCUCAUCACCUCAGAGUUCCUCUCCACAGAACGAUGGAUAAACCAAAAUGACAGACGCGAGGCCACGGGUGCGUUCACCGUGCCUCUCCUGGAGCUGUUUGACUCUUACGUAAGACCGGAGCGUGCUGCCAGUCCCUGGCAUCGGCAGCCUCUGAAGUGAGCACUUUGUGUGACCCUCAGCUGUCCUGAAUAGACAAAAACUAAGUGAGACACAAAAUGUACACGUUAUGCAACCAUUUCUCCUGACAGCCACCCUGGCAAGCUAUUUCCUACUGACUGCGGCAGUAACAGACAUUUAACUUGCUGCUAAGAUAAAACAGUCUGUGGGUAGAAGGAAGUGUAUGGGUGGGAACAGAAAAUGGAGGUUGUUCAUGUCCCAACAUGAAUGUGCUUGAAAGAUCAGCAAUACUUUUUUCCGUAGUUUGAUGUACGUGGCCAUAUUAGUCUGACAGCGUCUGUUACAAAGUGCCCCGAGACCCUUUUCACGUCUGCUUUUGCUAAUGUGGCCAAAAGGAAAACUGCAAACAUCAUGAAAUUAAUUUUUUAAUUAUACCUUCACUGCCUAGUAAAAGACUCGAUUUUAAAAGUGCCCAAAGAAGAGCAGUGUAAUUUUCAUUUACUUACAGAUGCACUGACCUGGCAUUGUCACUUGGUCUGAAGGACACAGCCAGGAAAAUAGAAAAUGCAGUUUCAGCAUUUGAAAACAUGAAAGAAGCAGAUGACUGUCCUUGUUGCCACGUGAAGUAUUGUAGAUGAAACCCCUUAUGUGCUGUACGGACACGUAGUGCUGCGUGUACCGAAUUUGCCCGAUAACGAACGUGAGAGCCAGCGGGUUUUCCUCUGGCCUACCUGCAGCAGCGUGGGCUGUGCGGGAUUGCCCGGCCUCGCGGAAUCCCCUCGGGGCAAGGGGCUGAAGUCCUGGCCCUCUCUGAAACCCAGCUGCCUUCUUACGGACCUAAACAGAGGCAAAUUUGCAUGUGAAAUUACAGCCUGGGAAUGUGAUUUCUGACAGAAAGAGUUGGCACCUGGGUGUGGCUAAGUGUACAAUGGAAUGUGUGGUCCUUGUUUGAUAUGAAUGUAUUUUAUUUUAAAGCCUUC